UAAGUGUAAAAAGCUUUUGGAAUAAGAGCUGGGCAAGACCGGUGCCAGCCGCCGCGGUAACACCGGCAGCUCUAGUGGUAGCUGUUUUUAUUGGGCCUAAAGCGUUCGUAGCCGGUUUGAUAAGUCACUGGUGAAAUCCUGUAGCUUAACUGUGGGAAUUGCUGGUGAUACUGUUGAACUUGAGGUCGGGAGAGGUUAGCGGUACUCCCAGGGUAGAGGUGAAAUUCUGUAAUCCUGGGAGGACCACCUGUGGCGAAGGCGGCUAACUGGAACGAACCUGACGGUGAGGGACGAAAGCUAGGGGCGCGAACCGGAUUAGAUACCCGGGUAGUCCUAGCCGUAAACGAUGCGGACUUGGUGUUGGGAUGGCUUUGAGCCGCUCCGGUGCCGAAGGGAAGCUGUUAAGUCCGCCGCCUGGGAAGUACGGUCGCAAGACUGAAACUUAA
rnacentral:rRNA from 1 species